AUGAAAUUGUAUACGUGUAAUUUAACAAUAAAUGUUGACAAGCUGAAGCUUUCCUUUGCCUACUUCUCUUUUUUCACAAACUCACGCCCUACCUCUCUGAUCUUCAUAUAAUUCUAUUUUCCUUUAAUAUUUCACUCCAAAACCUUGCCCUGUUUUAAGUGUUUUAACCCCUGAUCACUGAUGUCCUGUCCGUUUGACGUAGGGCCCCGUAACGAAUGUCAAGACUCUGCCGACUAAGUUCGUUGAAGUUCUGUCUCGUGACAUAGGGAUAAAGUUAAAUUGGGUUACUAUGCUUAACAGAGUACAUUAUAUAUUUUAUUAAAUAUCAACCUUCCUAAAACACCCCUGCACAUCCUAAAAUAUACCCCGAAUGCAAUAAACGAGCCCGUAUACCUUUAUUUUAAUAAAAAUCAAAUAAAAAUAAUUUCUAAGGGUUCUCGCAGGCCGCGACCCAUCUCCCUGGGUUUGUCGCGAGGCACGACAUAGUGACACCAGGCGGAACCCGCUUGCGCCACGUGUCCCAACGCGUGUGAAGGCUACUCGGGUGACUCGCCAAGCCUACAACCUAACCUACAUAGCUCGCGGGCCGCGUAAGACUGCCCUUGAGCUUUCGCGGGGCGCGACAAAGUGCCGAUCAGGCACUAUAAAUAGAGGAUGACGGCGUCAGUUGUCAAAUCGUUCAAAUCUCGAUCUCUCUCUCAAUUUUCUGCAUAGCAAAUAUUAGAUCAAGCAUUAUACCCCCCUAAAUCGCGAAGCUCUACCUCGUUAUUAUAACCAGGAAGCCACAAAGGAAAUACCUAAAGUAGCAUUGUAACUUAGUGUGAAGCCAAUAAAAGCCAGCUGGAGAGCACUGAAGGCUUAGAAAAGUGGCUAUAAAAGUUACCUAAAUAAAAAGAAGAUUUUAUUUUCAAUAAUUAGGGUUGUCCCUACAAACACGUUUAUAAUGGAAAUUUGGGUUUCUCCCAUGUAUGUAUUAUUAUAAAAAAUAUGGUGUUUUACUCUGAUAAAAUAUUUCCUAACUACGGUCCUGAUGAAAAUUUCCGCUGCCAAAUUAAUAAACACCGAUACCACUGAAACUGGCCACGGCCGCCCGUUCCUGGGUUGUUAGGGAACGGGGGUUGUGACAGAAGGUGGUAUCAGAACCACUGGUUUAAGCCAUCUAGGUGUUCUUUUAAUACCUAAAACUUAAACCCUAUGUUAGGAAAUUAAUGUGACAAAUUAAGUGUUAUUCUGUGUAGAUAAAUAUUAAUAUUUAUGUUAUGAUUUUUAUGUUUUGAGUCCACAGUAUGAAUGACCAAUAUGAUUAGAUGUACCCAUAGACUAAGAAACCAUAAGUUACAUCCCUUCAUAAAUAAAUGAAUAUAGAUUUAUGUUUUGAGUCCACAUUAUUAUGUUACACUCUUAUACAAUUAGUAACUUAGGAAACCACCUUAAGUUACAUCCCUUCAUAAAUAAAUGAAUAUAGAUUUUAUCCUGCAUUCAUUAAACUACAAAAAUCUAAUCUAAAAUAUUGUUUUCGCUACUAGAAAUAUCCGAUUUUUGUACUUUAAAAAUAUGAUUUAAUUUAUUCCAGUAAAACAUAACACCAAUCCAUGGGAAGAACCCCCACCUUGACAUGUCAUAUAAAGAUGUUUCAAAAAAAAAAAAAAAAAAAAAAAAAAUCUAUGAGUAUCUUUCAUAGUUAUCUAGUUAAGAACACUAAAACUAAGUUAUUAAAUAAAUAGAAAAUUUACUUUUACUAUUAUUCUUAGCUAAUUUUAUCAAAAUUCUUAACUAGUACAGAUGCUAGUUAUUCUUUAUCAAAAUUCUUAAUAUACAAAGAAAUAUAAAAUAAUAGUUAUUUCACAACUUUGGUUUCUGGGGAAAAAAGGAAAAUAUGUAAGAUGCGUAUAUAACUUUCUAUAGUACCAGUUAAUUUUUUAUAUAUAUCAUUAUCUCUUCACCACCAAAUUGUACUGCCUUAUAUUUUUAAUAAAAUUUUAGUUACUUAAAUAGCAUCUAUUGUAUACAAAAAUAUUUUCUUUAAAAAGAGGGUUGAAAUUUAACAACUUUUAAACUCGUAUUUUAGAAAGGGGAUAUAGUUAGUAUAAAAAAAAGAGGGAAUACAUUUAGCCUACCUCUAAAUAUUAUGCAUUUUUGUUACCCUAAAUUCAUUUGACACCACUACCUUUUAGUUGAAAGAUGUUUGAAGACAUAGGUAUGCCUUGUGUUGCUUGGUUUUUAAGGUCAUCACAUGCUAAAGUCAGGUAC
rnacentral:lncRNA from 1 species